rnacentral:misc_RNA from 1 species
AGCAGCCGCGGUAAUUCCAGCUCCAAUAGCGUAUAUUAAAGUUGUUGCAGUUAAAAAGCUCGUAGUUGAAUUUCGGGAUCAAUACGUCGGUCGUGCUUCGGUACGUACUGGCGUCAUUGGUUUCUCCCUUCUGACGAACCAUGAUGUCAUUAAUUUGGUGUUAUGGGAAAUUAGGACUGUUACUUUGAAAAAAUUAGAGUGUUUAAAGCAGGCUCACGCUUGAAUACAUUAGCAUGGAAUAAUGAAAUAGGACGUUCGAUCCUAUUUUGUUGGUUUCUAGGAUCAACGUAAUGAUUAAUAGGGAUAGUUGGGGGCAUUAGUAUUCAAUUGUCAGAGGUGAAAUUCUUGGAUUUAUUGAAGACUAACUACUGCGAAAGCAUUUGCCAAGGAUGUUUUCAUUAAUCAAGAACGAAAGUUAGGGGAUCGAAGACGAUCAGAUACCGUCGUAGUCUUAACCAUAAACUAUGCCGACUAGGGAUCGGGAUGAUGUUAAUUAUUUAAUGACUCAUUCGGCGCCUUA